AGUGAACGCUGGCGGUAGGCCUAACACAUGCAAGUCGAACGGCAGCACAGUAAGAGCUUGCUCUUACGGGUGGCGAGUGGCGGACGGGGGAGGAAUACAUCGGAAUCUACUUUUUCGUGGGGGAUAACGUAGGGAAACUUACGCUAAUACCGCAUACGACCUACGGGGGAAAGCGGGGGAUCUUCGGACCUUGCGCGAUUGAAUGAGCCGAUGUCGGAUUAGCUAGUUGGCGGGGUAAAGGCCCACCAAGGCGACGAUCCGUAGCUGGUCUGAGAGGAUGAUCAGCCACACUGGAACUGAGACACGGUCCAGACUCCUACGGGAGGCAGCAGUGGGGAAUAUUGGACAAUGGGCGCAAGCCUGAUCCAGCCAUACCGCGUGGGUGAAGAAGGCCUUCGGGUUGUAAAGCCCUUUUGUUGGGAAAGAAAAGCAGCAGGUUAAUACCCCGCUGUUCUGACGGUACCCAAAGAAUAAGCACCGGCUAACUUCGUG
rnacentral:rRNA from 1 species